AGGUGUACAACGCACGUGGCAAACUAGCCUGACACAGCAGUGAAAUUGUACCUUAACAAACAUCGCAUGUCACAGAUUUAAGACCUGAAUGUAGAAAUCGUGGUCUGCUGGCCAGUGCCCAAAAUAUUUAAAUGACAUCCCUGCAUAUCAUUCCCUUUCAGAUGAUCCCCCUAUCACUGUUGGCCAUCCUCAGUGGCCUUACGGAUGAGAGUUUUAACUUUCCUGUUGAGAAUUAUAAGUACAGUCAUAUAGCUCAUCUCAAUACUUCACCUUUUCAGGAUAAGGGCAUCCUAGACUGUCCUGAUCAUCUAGUUGAGCAUCCCAGAUAAUUCCUCCAUCACAGCAGAAAUGUGUCUCCGGAGGGGAUGACUGCCGUUUUACAGGCUCCUAACCAACUGCUUUUUUUUGUGCUUUUUUUUCCGAAACUUAUUUUUUUUAAUUAUGUUGUACAUAAUGUUGCUGCUACCGUCUUUUAUGUCUGAAAAAAGCAGCGGUUACUCUCCUCGAACUGGACAAAGAUGUUUUUCUUUAAGAAGUUAGACACGAAGGAAAUACUGCUUUCUCGAGACCCGGUCCAAAUCCCUGUCAUUUGCGUGAAGAAAAGAUGGAGAAAAAUGCAGCGGAGGUCGGGCGAGUGAGUAAACCUCCACUACCAUCCAUACAAUUGGCCAACCUGCAAUCAUUUGAAAAUAAAAUUGAAGAUCUACAAUUAAGGCUAUCCUACCAACGUGACAUUGAACUGUAAUAUGUUAUGUUUCACUGAGUCGUGGCUGAACGAUGACACAUAAUAUAGAGCUGGCUGGGUUUUCCAUGCAUCGGCAGGACAGGGAAACUACGUCUGGUAAGAUGAGGGGGUUUCUGUCUAUUUGUCAAUAACAGCUGGUGCGUGAUGUCUAAUAUUAAAGAAGUAUCGAGGUAUUGCUCGCCUGAGUACCUCAUGAUAAGCUGUGCAGGCCACACUAUCUGCCAAGAGUUCUCAUCUAUAUUAUUCGUAGCAGUCUAUUUACCACCACAAACCGAUGCUGUCACUAAGAGCUCACUCAGCAAGCUGUAUAAGGCCAUAGGCAAACAAGAAAAUGUUCAUCCAGAAGUGGCACUCCUAGUGGCCGGGGACUUUAAUACAGGCAAACUUAAAUCCGUUUACCUCAUUUCUACCAGCAUGUAGAAAUGUGCAACCAGAGGAAAAAUAUCUCAAGACAACCUUUAUGCCACACACAGAGACGCAUAUAAAGGUCUCCCUCGCCCUCCAUUUGGUAAAUCUGACUAUAAUUCUAUCCUCCUGAAGUACCAGUGACUCGCUCAAUACAUCACCAACAAACUAUCAUGGUCCAAACACACCAAGACAGUUGUAAAGAGGGCACAACAGCAGACUGAAAGGUUUUGGCAUGGGUUCUUAGAUCCUCAGUUAUACAGCUGCACCAUCGAGAGCAUCCUGACCGGUUGCAUCACCGGCUGGUAUGGCAACUGCUCGGCAUCUGACCAUAAGGCGCUACAGAGGGUAGUGCGUACGGCCCAGUACAUCAUUGGGGCCAAGCUUCCUGCCAUACAUGACCUAUAUACUAAACGGUGUCAGAGGAAGACUCAAAAAAAUUGUCAAAGACUCCAGUCACCCAAGUCAUAGACUGUUCUCUCUGCUACCGCACUGCAAGCGGUACGGGGGCGCCAAGUCUAGGACCAAAAUGCUCCUUAACAGCUUCUACCUCCAAGCCAUAAGACUGCUGAACAAUUCAUCAAAUGGUCACCCGAACUAUUUACAUUGACACCCCCCCCCGCCCCCUUUGUUUUUAUACUGCUGUUUAUUAUCUAAAAAUAGUUAUUUUACCUACAUGUACAAAUUACCUCUACUAACCUGUUCCCCCACACAUUGACUCGGUACCGGUACCCCCUGUAUAUAUCCUCGCUAUUGUUAUUUUAUUGUGUUACAUUUUAUAUUUAUUUAAUUUGAGAUGUCCCAUCCACAUAGUAAGAUUUUAGAUGUGCAGAUAAACCAAUUCCAGUCUAUUUUACCAUUACUUUCAUCAAGUCUGUGGGUUAUGGUAUUGUAAUGUAAAUGUUACUGUUUUAGUAAUCAACUUAGCUAGCUAGUAAAAGUACCUUUUUUUUGUGUGUGUCUUUUGAAAUGGGCGGACCGGAAACCUCAGUGACGACACUCUGGUCUGUAGCUGCCAUUUUCCGUUGGAAAAGAGAAAUGGUACCAGAAAAGUCCAACAGGAGUGCAUCCCUCAGACUGUAUGAUUCAUGGACAUCCUGUGUCAGUGUGAUCGGCUUGUGGAGACUACAGCUGAUCGAGCCUAUGAACGGACAGACACGAGGUGUGACAUGCUGAAACCUCAGGCUCACCCCACAAGAAGCAGUAAAUGAUCAACGCCACCCUCAACAAGGAGAUCUGCUGGAAGUGAUUUACUCUCACUCUGGGGAAUGUCAGGUACAGACAUGGAAAUGGAGCCUUUAGCAAGUACUGACAGGAGGGGCAAUAUGAAUCUGUCAGAGGUUGUCACGAUGGGUGGUGAAGGAGGCUUGGUGCUCCACACAACGAAGAAGCAGUGUCCCUUCCAGUGAUUAUGGAGCUGACCUUGGACCUGGUGCCAGUAAGGAUGGUCUUCACGGAAAUCCUUCGACUUCACUGCCUCUUCAAUGACAUGACCCCAUCUAACGACUGAUCCGAGGACCCUUUUUAGUAGCAAUGGAGGACAGGUGCAGUUUUUCCAUAAACUUUGAAUUGAUAAAUUGGGAUUUUAUUGCUUAAGAUAUCAAUCAUAUAGUGGGAAGGAUUCUAUAAAUUUAGACUGUGAAUGCAUGUACCACUGAAUAAACAAAUACUGUGCCACAU